ACAGAUUGCUUCAAAAGAGUUAUUCCAGCGUUAUGUGUACGAUCAUGGAUGAAGAAGCAGCCGAGAAGAAAAGGAAGAAAGCUGCGGCAAUUCAAGUGAAGCAAACCCAUUAUUGUAACUCUAAAUCGGAACCUUAAACAUGUCUGGUUCGAACACGAACGUGUUCCAAGGUGUAUUUUGCAGGGAUCUGGCUGCAGUUGGGAACCUAUUGUCACAAGUGGGGUUCAAUCGUCCAUUUCAAUUGAAAUACGAGGCACUCAGCUGUUGAUU